GGCGAGAUGGCCGAGCGGUCUAAGGCGCUGUGUUAAGGUGAUCUGCUCCUCCGAGCAGUCGUCUCCGCAGUCUUCGGACGUGGGUUCGAAUCCCACUCUCGUCA
rfam:Trichosporon asahii var. asahii CBS 8904 unplaced genomic scaffold scaffold00105, whole genome shotgun sequence.